GACGAACGCUGGCGGCGUGCCUAAUACAUGCAAGUAGGACGCAGUUGCGAACGGGUGAGUAACGCGUAGGUAACUGCCUAUUAGAGGGGGAUAACUAUUGGAAACGAUAGCUAAUACCGCAUACUAGUAGAUGGACCUGCGUUGUAUUAGCUAGUAGGUAGGGUAAUGGACUACCUAGGCUGAGAUACAUAGCCGAACUGAGGAGGUGAGCGGCCACCCUGGGACUGGUGCACGGCCCAGACUCCGACGGGAGGCAGCAGGAGGGAAUCUUCGGAAAUUGGGGGAACCCUGACCGGGCAACGGCGCGUGAGUGAAGAAGGUUUUCGGAUCGUAAAGCGCUGGUGUUAAGUAAGCGUUACUUAACCAGAAAGGGACGGCUAACUACGUGCCAGCAGCCGCGGUAAUAC
rnacentral:rRNA from 1 species